CCUACGGGAGGCUGCAGUGGGGAAUAUUGGACAAUGGGGGGAACCCUGAUCCAGCCAUGCCGCGUGUGUGAAGAAGGCCCUCGGGUUGUAAAGCACUUUCAGUGAGGAAGAACGCCUGGUGGUUAAUACCCAUCAGGAAAGACAUCACUCACAGAAGAAGCACCGGCUAACUCCGUGCCAGCAGCCGCGGUAAUACGGAGGGUGCGAGCGUUAAUCGGAAUUACUGGGCGUAAAGCGCGCGUAGGUGGCUUGAUAAGCCGGUUGUGAAAGCCCCGGGCUCAACCUGGGAACGGCAUCCGGAACUGUCAAGCUAGAGUGCAGGAGGGGAAGGUAGAAUUCCCGGUGUAGCGGUGAAAUGCGUAGAGAUCGGGAGGAAUACCAGUGGCGAAGGCGGCCUUCUGGACUGACACUGACACUGAGGUGCGAAAGCGUGGGUAGCAAACAGGAUUAGAUACCCCUGUAGUC
rnacentral:rRNA from 1 species